rnacentral:rRNA from 1 species
UACGUAGGGUGCAAGCGUUGUCCGGAAUUAUUGGGCGUAAAGAGCUCGUAGGCGGUUUGUUGCGUCGGCUGUGAAAUCCCGAGGCUCAACCUCGGGUCUGCAGUCGAUACGAGCAAACUAGAGUGUUGCAGGGGAGACUGGAAUUCCUGGUGUAGCGGUGAAAUGCGCAGAUAUCAGGAGGAACACCGGUGGCGAAAGCGGCUUACUGGGUCUCUUCUGACGCUGAGGUACGAAAGCUAGGGGAGCGAAGGGG